UGUUGUGGAGCCUUUGGGCCUGAAGACUGGAAUCUGAACAUUUACUUUAAUUGUACUGACACUAAUCUAAGCAGAGAGAAAUGUGGGGUUCCCUUUUCCUGCUGCACCAAGGACCCUGCUGAGGAUGUGAUAAACACACAGUGUGGAUAUGACAUUCGAGCGAAAGAUGACAACGAACAGAAGAUGUUUAUACACACAAAAGGAUGUGUACCACAGUUUGAGAAAUGGUUACAGGAGAAUUUAACCGUAGUUGCCGGAAUCUUCAUAGGAAUUGCACUUCUGCAGGUGAAUAAACAACAACGGUCAUUGAAAUACACAUGCACACUGAACAUUUUAUGUUGUGUAUGUCCCACUAUAAACAGCAGUCAUUUAUAA